rnacentral:rRNA from 1 species
GAUGAACGCUGGCGGCGUGCCUAAUACAUGCAAGUCGAGCGAACAGACGAGGAGCUUGCUCCUCUGACGUUAGCGGCGGACGGGUGAGUAACACGUGGAUAACCUACCUAUAAGACUGGGAUAACUUCGGGAAACCGGAGCUAAUACCGGAUAAUAUAUUGAACCGCAUGGUUCAAUAGUGAAAGACGGUUUUGCUGUCACUUAUAGAUGGAUCCGCGCCGCAUUAGCUAGUUGGUAAGGUAACGGCUUACCAAGGCAACGAUGCGUAGCCGACCUGAGAGGGUGGUCCGCCCCACCGGAACUGAGACCCGGGCCAAGCUCCUACGGGAGGCAGCAGUAGGGAAUCCUCCGCAAAGGGCGAAAGCCUGACGGAGCAACGCCGCGUGAGUGAUGAAGGUCUUCGGAUCGUAAAACUCUGUUAUUAGGGAAGAACAAAUGUGUAAGUAACUAUGCACGUCUUGACGGUACCUAAUCAGAAAGCCACGGCUAACUACGUG